rnacentral:rRNA from 1 species
UACGUAGGGGGCAAGCGUUGUCCGGAUUUAUUGGGCGUAAAGAGCGUGUAGGCGGCCAUGUAGGUCCGUUGUGAAAACUCGAGGCUCAACCUCGAGACGCCGAUGGAAACCAUGUGGCUAGAGUCCGGUAGGGGAGUGGGGAAUUCCUGGUGUAGCGGUGAAAUGCGCAGAUAUCAGGAGGAACACCGGUGGCGAAGGCGCCACUCUGGGCCGGCACUGACGCUGAGGAGCGAAAGCGUGGGUAGCAAACAGG